GUUUCCGUAGUGUAGCGGUUAUCACGUGUGCUUCACACGCACAAGGUCCCCGGUUCGAUCCCGGGCGGGAACA